GAAAGAAUGAGUGCAAGCAGUUUAUUUGGGCCACUCCAGAGGUGUUAAAGCUCCAGCACUUCGAGCCUGCCUCGUGGGAAAGUCUUAGGCUGAGUCUGUAGGUGUCUGCAGUUAAGAAGCCAGCGGUCUGCAUAUGAUUGCUCAGGGGUGGUGGCUGGGUCCAACAGCAUUCACUACAGGCCUGCCUUGAAUACCACCUAGCGCAGUGCUCCGCAUAUCACAGGGGCUGGAAACCUAACAAUUUCACUUCCUAGACAACUUGCUAAAAGUCACCUAAAGACAGUCUGGUUACUGCCAAAGAUAUGCUUUCAAAUAAGAUUUGGAUAAAGAAGGGAGGUAGAUGCCUUUUUUCAGCAGUGGAGUGAUGUCUAGACCAGUAGAUGUACGCAUCUAAGUGAAUUCAUCACCAGCAACAAUUUCCAGAAACUUCCUGACCUCCAGAUUGCAGCUUCAUUAGUGUGAGUUUAAAGCCAACUAGAUGCCAUUCUCAGAUUCCACGCAUAUGGCCAAGGGUCCAGGAAAUAAGAAGAAACAGGUUGAGGGGUUGGUGUUAUGGGGCAUUUACUUGAAUUUUCUAUGCUAUAAUUGUCUCAUCUUUAAAACGGUGAUAAUAAUAAAAUUGUCAGUUAUUAAAUAAAUU
rnacentral:lncRNA from 1 species